rnacentral:tRNA from 1 species
GCCUCCGUAACUCAAUUGGUAGAGUAGCGGCCUUUUAAGCCGAUGGUUGGAGGUUCGAGUCCUCCCGGAGGCA